UCAGCAUACUGCCGUGAAUACGUUCCCGGGCCUUGUACACACCGACCGUCACACCAUGAGAGUUGGGAAUACCCGAAGCCUGUGAGCUAACUUAUAGAGGCAGCAGUCGAAGGUAGAAUCAAUGAUUGGGGUGAAGUCGUAACAAGGUAUC
rnacentral:rRNA from 1 species